GGGCACUAUACAAGGCUUGGGAUUUGGCAAUACUGCAUUUCACUACAGUUUGAAUAUUUGGGGUAAUUCCCUCCAGCAGGACGAUAUUGACACCUCCUAUGUGAGCAGUGGCACAUGUCUCCGUCAUCUUUUGAUGUAGUACAUCUUUCAUUUUUUCUUUCAAAGUGAAACUGCCAUGGAUUCUCUUCAGCUCUGAUUCCAUCGUCAGACCACCAAUAUCUGCCUCCAGGUGGGUUCGAUUCACCAUGCCUAUCCCAAAGACUAUGAGAGUCACAUGCUGUGGCUCCGAAGUCACCAGACUGCGCUUCCUCUGCACGUCUCUGCCAUUAUCCUGUUCAUUCUCAAACACCACUCUGCAAGCAGGUUCAGUUGGGCUUCGAACACCUGUUGGCCCAAACGUUUCAGAAGACUUUUCUAAAAUCCCAGUUGGAUCAGAAAUGAGUGAAUAGAAGUUCAGUAGUUUAUACAUAUUUUGCCAACACUCAGCAGAAGGUUCACUCUGUUCUGACACGGUAAUAGAGUCAGAGUCAUCCAUAUGAAUAGUCAUGUCGACCACAUCUUUUGAGCCUUUCCUGGACACUUUAGAAGUUCUUCUUUCCGACCUGCCCAGGGAAUUCUUGUUUCUAGACUCUUUUUUAUUGUUCUCAUUGUUUGCUCGUUUGUUCUUAGUGUUGUUCACUCUGUUACCUCCAUUAA
rnacentral:lncRNA from 1 species